GUGAGGAAUAUUGCGCAAUGGAGGCAACUCUGACGCAGCCAUGCCGCGUGCAGGAAGAAGGCGCUACGCGUUGUAAACUGCUUUUAACCGGGAAGAAACCCCAGGACGUGUCCUGGGUUGACGGUACCGGAGGAAUAAGCACCGGCUAACUUCGUGCCAGCAGCCGCGGUAAUACGAAGGGUGCAAGCGUUAUCCGGAUUCAUUGGGUUUAAAGGGUGCGUAGGCGGAGCGUUAAGUCAGUGGUGAAAUCCUGCAGCUUAACUGUAGACUUGCCAUUGAUACUGGCGCUCUUGAGUGCGCUUGAAGUGGGCGGAAUGUGCCGUGUAGCGGUGAAAUGCUGAGAUAUGGCACAGAACACCAAUUGCGAAGGCAGCUCACUAAGGCGAUACUGACGCUGAGGCACGAAAGCGUGGGGAUCGAACAGGAUUAGAAACCCCUGUAGUCC
rnacentral:rRNA from 1 species